rnacentral:lncRNA from 1 species
UUUCCAGGCAAAUCUGGGGACUGGUUACCUUCUAGCAGAGGUGAGAGUUGUACAUAGAGAGCGUUGAGAGCUAUCAGUACCUUCAUCUCAAAUGACUGAAUAUAAUUUACAAUUGUUUUAGGUGGCCGAAGCUCAAGAAGAAGUCAAAACAGAACAAGUUCAGAUUCACAAGGUCACGUGAGGCGAGGCAAAACGAAGGACUCAAAGAAUGUGCAAGCGCUGGGCAGCAAAGCAAAAGGGAAAGAUCGACUGACUGGCAGGGCCAGGAGAUGGGUAUCAAAUGCAGAUGGAACUUUACAGGUAA